AGCGUAGCGAAAGCGAGUCUGAUAAGGGCGACUUAGUUGCUGGGCGUAGACCCGAAACCAGAUGAUCUAUCCAUGGCCAGGAUGAAGGUGUGGUAACACACACUGGAGGUCCGAACCCACUAAUGUUGAAAAAUUAGGGGAUGAGCUGUGGAUAGGGGGUGAAAAGGCUAAACAAAUCUGGAAAUAGCUGGUUCUCUCCGAAAACUAUUUAGGUAGUGCCUCAUGUAUCACUCACGGGGGUAGAGCACUGUCAUGAUUGCGGGGGUCAUCGCGACUUACCGCGUCAUAGCAAACUCCGAAUACCGUGAAGUGCGAGCAUGGGAGACAGACGGUGGGUGCUAACGUUCAUCGUCAAGAGGGAAACAACCCAGACCGCCGGCUAAGGUCCCAAAGACAUGGUUAAGUGGAAAACGAAGUGGGAAGGCAUAGACAGUCAGGAAGUUGGCUUAGAAGCAGCCAUCCUUUAAAGAAAGCGUAAUAGCUCACUGAUCGAGUCGUCCUGCGCGGAAGAUGUAACGGGG
rnacentral:rRNA from 1 species